rnacentral:rRNA from 1 species
CCUACGGGUGGCAGCAGUGGGGAAUAUUGCACAAUGGGGGAAACCCUGAUGCAGCGACGCCGCGUGAGUGAAGAAGUAAUUCGGUAUGUAAAGCUCUAUCAGCAGGGAAGAAAAUGACGGUACCUGAGUAAGAAGCCCCGGCUAACUAAGUGCCAGCAGCCGCGGUAAUACGUAGGGGGCCAGCGUUAUCCGGAUUUACUGGGUGUAAAGGGAGCGUAGACGGGAGUGCAAGUUUGGAGUGAAAGGCGGGGGCUCAACCUCCGAACUGCAUUUGAAACUUUUUGUCUUGAGUAUCGGAGAGGCAGGCGGAAUUCCUAGUGUAGCGGUGAAAUGCGUAGAUAUUAGGAGGAACACCAAUGGCGAAGGCGGCCUGCUGGACGACAACUGACGGUGAGGCGCGAAAGCGUGGGGAGCAAACAGGAUUAGAUACCCCUGUAGUC